rnacentral:rRNA from 1 species
GACAGAGGUGCCAAGCGUUAGGCGGAAUCACUGGGCUUAAAGCGUGUGUAGGCGGGCGAUCAAUUACCUUGUGAAAUCCCACGGCUCAACUGUGGAACUGCUGGGUAUACUGGUUGUCUUGAGCCAGCUAGGGGCGAGCGGAACAGACGGUGGAGCGGUGAAAUGCGUAGAUAUCGUCUGGAACGCCGAAGGUGAAAACAGCUCGCUGGGGCUGCGCUGACGCUGAGACACGAAAGCCAGGGGAGCGAACGGG